UUUUUUUUUAUGAGCAUGCUGCCAACAUUCCAAGCUCUGGUAAGAGAAACCAAAAACUUGUGCUAUAUUGCCACCUUCUGGAAAAUAAAAGAAAGCACCCUACUUAGGAACUUGUUAAAUUGUUAAAAUCAAGAUGGUAAUGAAAACGGGUAAAGAUUGGAUGUAGGCAGUGUUGUAAAAGAGAAUCAGGUGUUGCAGUGAGUGAAAGUAAGAGGUAAAGGAAACGAAAGAGUCAAAGUUAACUUGUUCUAAAACCUUGCAAUUGAUAGGUUUAACUUCAUAAA